CCUACGGGAGGCAGCAGUGGGGAAUAUUGCACAAUGGGGGAAACCCUGAUGCAGCGACGCCGCGUGAGUGAAGAAGUAUUUCGGUAUGUAAAGCUCUAUCAGCAGGGAAGAAAUAAAGUCCUUCGGACUUUGGACGGUACCUGACUAAGAAGCCCCGGCUAACUACGUGCCAGCAGCCGCGGUAAUACGUAGGGGGCAAGCGUUAUCCGGCUUUACUGGGUGUAAAGGGAGCGUAGACGGCAGCGCAAGUCUGGAGUGAAAUCCCAUGGCUUAACCAUGGAACUGCCUUGGAAACUGUGAAGCUGGAGUGCAGGAGAGGUAAGCGGAAUUCCUAGUGUAGCGGUGAAAUGCGUAGAUAUUAGGAGGAACACCAGUGGCGAAGGCGGCUUACUGGACUGUAACUGACGUUGAGGCUCGAAAGCGUGGGGAGCAAACAGGAUUAGAUACCCUUGUAGUC
rnacentral:rRNA from 1 species